rnacentral:misc_RNA from 1 species
GGAAGGUCAAACACUAGCACAAGUUUAGGUUCCUAGUUUAAUUUUUAAUACUGAAUCACUGCUAUAAAAAUUUUGAGGAUAACAAUAGAAGUCAUACAGAAAACAGAUUCUGUGCUCUCCUACUUCCAUUUGAAAGACAAAAAGGCCAUGAAUAAGGUGCUUUCUCAUUAUCAUCCUCAUUAUCGGGAUCGUCAGUCUAGAUAAGCUUUAUGCUUUGGUUGGAUUCCACUGGUAGCAAAAAUCUUGCUUAUUUUCUUGGGGGUUGUCAUGUUUGGGUGUUUCUCUUGAAUGGAUUAGGGGCAGGGUUAGGUGUCAGUGGAUAUAUUUAUCACUUCAAUUCCAUAGCUGGUCAAUCCUGUUGAUUUAUCAUCACUUGUAG